rnacentral:tRNA from 1 species
GGAGGAAUACUCAAGGGGCUUAAGAGGUACGCUUGGAAAGCGUAUAGAUCUUUAAAAAGAUGCAAGGGUUCGAAUCCCUUUUCCUCCG